AAGUAAAUUCUCUGCAAACCAGAUAACUCCUAUUUUCCAAAAAUGAAUACGCCUAUUUUCUAUAUUUAGCUUGUACUUUCCAACACGGAAGUUAUUUAAACGUCAAAUACCUAUUCAUAAAUCAUUAGCAUUGAAAUUUGAAUAUCUAACGUUUGCUUUCCACUGGAAAAUAUUCUGUCUCGGGACUAACAUUAAAACAGACAACUUGGUGGCACAGCGAAUGGAAUGGCAGGCAAAAAUAAACUAUAUCGUCUUCUACGGGAUGAUGAAAACCCGUUGCUAUGUGGAAUAACAGCUAAAAUUCCUUUAGCGACUGAAACUCCAAUGAACCAUAUUCGGAAUGGGUCAAGACAAAGUUCACAAUGGAUCUCAACCUCAAGAAAACUUUCUGAUGUUGACAAAUUUAUAAGACUUAAGAGAAAGACAGAAGGAGCGUGUGUAAGAUGUAGAGUUGUAGAAAUAGAUGAAAUAAAGGUGCGCUGGUACGCAGAGAUGGGCUGGUAUAGAUUUCAACAACUUGUUCAAACAUUUAUCGGAACAAAUACUACAUAUCUAUUUUGUCAGUUCAUGCAACAGACGACGGGUCAAAUAUUAGAUUUUACCGACCAAAGAGUUAUGGACGCGUAUAUCUCAUCAGUUCUAUCCGGACAAGAAGACAAAAAAGCACGACGUUUUGCAAAGAACUAUAGCGAGGUUCUUGUUGAACGCUUUAUCCCCGCAGAUUGUUGUGUUGCUAUAUAUCACAGGUAAACUCAGCAAUACAACAAUAUAUUCUUACGAUUAUCGGAAUGAGAAAUCUGUUGCAAAGUCAUUUCAGUGUUGAAUUGAUCAAACCGAGCCUGCAACAUUUUCGUUUUUGUCGUGUUGAGCGAUCUGUGAAGUUUCCACUUUUCUCUAUUUUCCUAUGCCAUUUUGUACUGGCCACCUGAAAUCAGUAGAUGUAAUAUAAUAUGUUUGAUAUACACUGCAUUUCAACGUUUACAUUUCAGUAUGAAUAUUUGUUAUUUAUUUUAAUUUUUAUGAGUGUUUAGAAAUUGUUAGAGAUCAUACAUGUGAUAGAUACUACGUAUCUUAAAACGCAUCCUCUGUAUUUUCUGAAUGUUUUGUUGACUCAUGUAUUUUAACUAACAUUAUAAUACAUAUCAUCACAGUUUAUUAUAAUUUAUGAAUGUGAAUCAUGUACUGACAUUAAGGUUUAUGGGGAAUAUCUUCUUCUUCUUCGCCAUGUCAUAUAAUAAAUAUUCAUACACUUUUAAGACUUUCUUUAAUAAAAACAAAGGAAGAUUU